GGGGCAUGUGGCUCAGUCUUAAAGCAUCUGCUUCACAUGCAGUAGGUCCCUGGUUCAGGCCCCAGCAUCUCCA
rnacentral:tRNA from 1 species